rnacentral:rRNA from 1 species
AUUGAACGCUGGCGGCAUGCCUUACACAUGCAAGUCGAACGGUAACAGGUCUUCGGAUGCUGACGAGUGGCGAACGGGUGAGUAAUACAUCGGAACGUGCCUAGUAGUGGGGGAUAACUACUCGAAAGAGUGGCUAAUACCGCAUGAGAUCUACGGAUGAAAGCAGGGGAUCGCAAGACCUUGUGCUACUAGAGCGGCCGAUGGCAGAUUAGGUGGUUGGUGGGAUAAAAGCUUACCAAGCCGACGAUCUGUAGCUGGUCUGAGAGGACGAUCAGCCACACUGGGACUGAGAGACGGCCCAGACUGCUGCGGGAGGCAGCAGUGGGGAAUUUUGGACAAGGGGCGAAAGCCUGAUCCAGCAAUGCCGCGUGCAGGAUGAAGGCCUUCGGGUUGUAAACUGCUUUUGUACGGAACGAAAAGCCCCGGGUUAAUACCCUGGGGUCAUGACGGUACCGUAAGAAUAAGCACCGGCUAACUACGUGCCAGCAGCCGCAGUAA